CUCGGGGCCGGUGCCGCUCCCGGCCCUGCCCGCCCCGGCCCCGCUGCCCGGCUCCCUCUCCCUGCCCCAGCCCCACCGAGCCCCUUCUCUCCUCCUGCUCCUCCAGGCCAUGGCUGGCAAGAUCACCCAAAUCCUGCUGGUGCUGGCCAUCCUCCAGCACGGGCUGAGGGCAGAUGCCCAGGCAGUGAAGGUCACGGAAGAGGUUCUGACACAACAUGAGGAACAGUACAACCAGGAGAUUCCGUGGCUGGCCAGAGCUGGAAGGAUUACCAAAAUCCUGGUGCUGCUGGGCAUCUUCCAAUACGUAGUGAGGAUGAAUGAUCCACCAGUGAAAGUCACGGAAGAGCUCCUGAAGCAGCAUGAGAAGGAGCGCAUUGUGGAGAUGGCCCAGCUGCUGGUGAUGGAAAAGCAGCGUGGACUCACCCCAGGAGGAUUUCUCCUCCUGGCUUGCCAGGAGUGGUGGUUCUGGGUCGGCGCUGAAAUCCUCCUCGUGCUCUUUGGGCUCUACUGGCUGCCCAGGCACAGCAGCUCUGACUGCGAUGAUGGCAGCCAGCAGGAAACCUCCACCAGUGCCCAGGAGCAGAUGAAGGAGGAGGAGAACGUCUGUGAGGAUAAUCCUGACUCUUAUGACAUGCCAGAGAAGCCCCCAGAUAAGAGCUGGGCACGGUGGAGGAUAUUCUGGCGAGACACCCCUGUGUCCGUGGGGAGCAGCGACCAGGAAAUGUGCUGUGCUACCUCCCCUCGUGGCUGAGGAUGCAAACAAGAGCUCAGAUCCCUGCUUCCUGUGCAGCCCCUGCAAAUAGCCCCAGUUGUGAUGCUCCCCCUGCCAGGAAGUGUGGAACCCUUUGUAAAUAUAUUCAUAAAAGCAUUCAUUUGUUUUAAUAAAUCCUGUUUGAGCAAGAGAGUGCUGGGGAAU
ensembl:lncRNA